GAUGAACGCUAGCUACAGGCUUAACACAUGCAAGUCGAGGGGCAGCAUGGUCUUAGCUUGCUAAGGCCGAUGGCGACCGGCGCACGGGUGAGUAACACGUAUCCAACCUGCCGUCUACUCUUGGACAGCCUUCUGAAAGGAAGAUUAAUACAAGAUGGCAUCAUGAGUCCGCACGUUCACAUGAUUAAAGGUAUUCCGGUAGACGAUGGGGAUGCGUUCCAUUAGAUAGUAGGCGGGGUAACGGCCCACCUAGUCUUCGAUGGAUAGGGGUUCUGAGAGGAAGGUCCCCCAUAUUGGAACUGAGACACGGUCCAAACUCCUACGGGAGGCAGCAGUGAGGAAUAUUGGUCAAUGGGCGCAGGCCUGAACCAGCCAAGUAGCGUGAAGGAUGGCUGCCCUAUGGGUUGUAAACUUCUUUUAUAAAGGAAUAAAGUCGGGUAUGUAUACCCGUUUGCAUGUACUUUAUGAAUAAGGAUCGGCUAACUCCGUG
rnacentral:rRNA from 1 species